rnacentral:rRNA from 1 species
CGAAAUGCGAUACUUGGUGUGAAUUGCAGAAUCCCGUGAACCAUCGAGUUUUUGAACGCAAGUAGCGCCCGAGACCUUUAGGUUGAGGGCACGUCUGCCUGGGCGUCACACACAGCGUUG